GAUGAACGCUAGCGGCAGGCCUAAUACAUGCAAGUCGAACGGGAUUGAGGAGCUUGCUCCUCAUGAGAGCGGCGCACGGGUGCGUAACACGUAUGUAACCUACCUUAAUCAGGGGAAUAGCCUCUCGAAAGAGCGAUUAACACCGCAUAAAAUCACACUAUGUCAUCAUAAAAUGAUCAAAUAUUUAUAGGAUAAAGAUGGGCAUGCGGAACAUUAGCUAGUUGGUAAGGUAACGGCUUACCAAGGCUAAGAUGUUUAGGGGAUCUGAGAGGAUGGCCCCCCACACUGGUACUGAGACACGGACCAGACUCCUACGGGAGGCAGCAGUAAGGAAUAUUGGUCAAUGGGCGGAAGCCUGAACCAGCCAUGCCGCGUGCAGGAAGACGGCCCUACGGGUUGUAAACUGCUUUUGUACCGGAAUAAACCUUUCUACGUGUAGGAAGCUGAAUGUACGGUAAGAAUAAGGAUCGGCUAACUCCGUGCCAGCCGCCGCCGUAA
rnacentral:rRNA from 1 species